rnacentral:rRNA from 1 species
GAUGAACGCUGGCGGCGUGCCUAAUACAUGCAAGUCGAGCGAACGGACGAGAAGCUUGCUUCUCUGAUGUUAGCGGCGGACGGGUGAGUAACACGUGGAUAACCUACCUAUAAGACUGGGAUAACUUCGGGAAACCGGAGCUAAUACCGGAUAAUAUUUUGAACCGCAUGGUUCAAAAGUGAAAGACGGUCUUGCUGUCACUUAUAGAUGGAUCCGCGCUGCAUUAGCUAGUUGGUAAGGUAACGGCUUACCAAGGCAACGAUGCAUAGCCGACCUGAGAGGGUGAUCGGCCACACUGGAACUGAGACACGGUCCAGACUCCUACGGGAGGCAGCAGUAGGGAAUCUUCCGCAAAGGGCGAAAGCCUGACGGAGCAACGCCGCGUGAGUGGUGAAGGUCUUCGGAUCGUAAAACUCUGUUAUUAGGGAAGAACAUAUGUGUAAGUAACUGUGCACAUCUUGACGGUACCUAAUCAGAAAGCCACGGCUAACUACGUG